rnacentral:rRNA from 1 species
AUUGAACGCUGGCGGCAUGCCUUACACAUGCAAGUCGAACGGUAACGGGCCUUCGGGUGCCGACGAGUGGCGAGCGGGUGAGUAAUACAUCGGAACGUGCCCGAUCGUGGGGGAUAACGAGGCGAAAGCUUUGCUAAUACCGCAUACGAUCUACGGAUGAAAGCAGGGGACCGCAAGGCCUUGCGCGGACGGAGCGGCCGAUGGCAGAUUAGGUAGUUGGUGGGAUAAAAGCUUACCAAGCCGACGAUCUGUAGCUGGUCUGAGAGGAUGAUCAGCCACACUGGGACUGAGACACGGCCCAGACUCCUACGGGAGGCAGCAGUGGGGAAUUUUGGACAAUGGGCGCAAGCCUGAUCCAGCCAUGCCGCGUGCAGGAUGAGGGCCUUCGGGUUGUAAACUGCUUUUGUACGGAACGAAAAGCCUUCUUUUAAUACAGGAGGGUCAUGACGGUACCGUAAGAAUAAGCACCGGCUAACUACGUG